rnacentral:rRNA from 1 species
GGCGAGUGAAGCGGCAACAGCUCAAAUUUGAAAUCUGGCCCCCGGCCCGAGUUGUAAUUUGCAGAGGAUGCUUCGGGCGCGGCGCCUUCCAAGUCCCCUGGAAUGGGGCGCCACAGAGGGUGAGAGCCCCGUACGGUCGGACGCCUAGCCCGUGUGAAGCUCCUUCGACGAGUCGAGUAGUUUGGGAAUGCUGCUCUAAAUGGGAGGUAGACCCCUUCUAAAGCUAAAUACCGGCCAGAGACCGAUAGCGCACAAGUAGAGUGAUCGAAAGAUGAAAAGCACUUUGAAAAGAGGGUUAAACAGCACGUGAAAUUGUUGAAAGGGAAGCGCUCGUGACCAGACCUGCGCCGGGGUGAUCAUCUGGCGUUCUCGCCGGUGCACUCGCCCCGGUCCAGGCCAGCGUCGGUUCGCGGGGGGGGAGAAGGGCGUCGGGAACGUGGCUCCCCCGGGAGUGUUAUAGCCCGGCGCGUCAUGCCCCCCUGCGGACCGAGGUUCGCGCUCUGCAAGGACGCUGGCGUAAUGGUCACCAGCGACCCGUCUUGAAACACGGACCAGGGAAGUCGAGGUUCUGCGCGAGUGGUUUGGGUGUCAAACCCGCACGCGUAAUGAAAGUGAACGCAGGUGGGAGCUUCGGCGCACCACCGACCGAUCCUGAUGUUCUCGGAUGGAUUUGAGUAAGGAGCGUGGGGCCUCGGACCCGAAAGAUGGUGAACUAUGCCUA